rnacentral:ncRNA from 1 species
AAUUGACAAGGGCAAACUCUGCGAAAGCAGGGGACGCAAAACUACAGGGGCUAUCGGCGAAAGAUUUCAUUCGCCAACCGCCAGCCAGUUGCCGAU